CACAUGAUUUUUAGAGCCGUCUUGAAAAAAUUUAGGGGUCCUAUAUAAAAUUUUUAUUUUACGUCUUAUUUAUAGUGAAUAUAUUUAUUUUAUUAAUAAAUUUAACAUAUUUUUUUAUUAACCUUUUUAAUACAUUAAAAAGAAAAAAAAAAACUAUACGAUUAAUCACCUCAUGCAUCCUCGAAAACCUUGUGAUGAUUUUUUUUAUUUACUUUUUCCACCAAAUGCUUUGGACAAAACUAUUUUACAUACGGAGUAGUUCAAACAUAAAUUAGGUAGGAGCGUACGCCUCGUACACCAUUCCGCUUUUGUUCUUCAUUCUUCAGGAACCUUCUCUUCUCUUCUGUUGUUUCUACACAUUUCCUCAACAAUUAACUCUGAUCACAUCUCCGAUCACAUUCAAUCUUCUCGGCAGUUUUCUCUUCCAUUUAAUUCUGAAUUAUGCUGCGAAUUUGAUGAAAUUCGAACUGAAUUUACCCAACUCAAUCAAAGCACAAAAUGGGAGAAACCGAAAGGGGAUUAAUCAAGAAGGGAAUACUAGGAAUGGGAUAUUGGGUACAAGGAUUCAGAUGUUUUCCAUGGCUGGCUGUUAAUUUCUUCCUUAAAGAUGGCCUUAAUGUUGACCCUUCUACUCUUCAAAUUCUUCAAAAUUCUGCUAAUUUUCCAAUGGUUGCCAAACCCCUUUACGGUGUCGUUUCUGAUGCUGUCUAUGUUUAUGGUCAACAUCGCCUUCCUUAUAUUGCCUUUGGAGCCAUUUUGCAAGCUCUUUCAUGGGUAGCAAUAGCAACACUCUCUUCGUCAAGCAUCUCAAUCUCCACCAUGACUUUCUAUCUCCUACUGAGCAAUUUGGGUGCUUCCGUCGCUGAGGUUGCUAAUGAUGCUAUUGUUGCAGAGAUUAGCAAACAACAUACUUCUUUAAAGAAAGAGAAAUCGUCUUCCUCAGGGGAGCUUCAGUCAUUUGUUUGGAUGGCUUCUUCGCUUGGGGGAGUUAUGGGGAACUUAAUCGGAGGAGUUGCCAUUGAAUUGUUCGGUGCACGAGCUAUGUUCCUAGCAUUUGCUGCACUCCUCACCAUCCAGUUCUUGUUAACUGUCUUAGUUGACGAGAGAUCUCUUAACCUGCCCAAAAACCAAACUGUUGGCAGAAUAAAAGAACAGUUUGCUAAGCUUGCAAGUGCAUUAUCCAAGCCUGAGAUUGCCUACUCGAUUGGUUGGUUUGUGGCUUCAUAUGCCAUGGUUCCUGUACUGACUGGAACAAUGUUCUUUUAUCAAACUCAGGCUUUGGGUAUUGAUUCUUCUGUGUUGGGUAUUUCCAAGGUGUUUGGGCAAGUAGGAAUGCUUCUUUGGAGUGUUGUUUAUGACAAAAGUCUGAAAUCAGCAUCCCCUAGGAAAGUAAUUACUGCAAUUCAGGCUACCACGGCAGUUUUCAUCAUUUCCGAUGUAUUGUUUGUGAACAAGUUUUACCAGCAAAUGGGGAUCCCAGAUUCUUUAUAUGUUAUAGUUUUUUCAGGUCUGCUGGAAGUUCUUUUUUUCUUCAAGAUUCUACCUUUUAGCGUUUUGAUUGCACAACUUUGUCCACCUGGAUGUGAAGGGUCUUUAAUGGCAUUUGUGAUGUCUGCCAUCGCCCUUGCAAUGAUCAUUGGUGGUUACCUUGGUGUUGCGCUUGCAUCUUCGGUCGGCGUUACUGGAACCAAUUUCUCUGGGCUGUCCCAUGGCCUUUUGAUACAAGUGGCUUGUACUGUGAUACCCCUCUUUUGGUCCUCAUGGAUUCCUGAUCAUAUAAAGCCUGCUGUUUCAAAAAAGAAGGAUUAGUUUGUUUUGGUGCUGUUCAAGCAACUCAGCUAAGUACUUGCAUUUUUAUACGAGCAGCUUGCACACUGAUACCCCUCUUUUACGAGGAUUAAUUCUUUUUGAUGCUGCUCAGGCAACUCAGCAAAGAAUAGUUUUAUUCGUAAGGAUCCUUGUGGAAAUGGCUUCAGAUUAAGAAAGCUCCUCAUAUGAAUCCCCAACAUUGACAACAGAUCCGAGCAUUAAACCAAUCAUCAUUGUCACCGGCCAAAAACCCAUCAUCAAAAUCAACAUUCUUAAUCCUUAGGCUCUCUCAGAUGUGUAUUGGUGAAACAGUAAUUGCUCCUGGGAUCUGCUAGGCUGCACCAGCAAAAAAUGACUUGCAAUUUUACCCGGUGCAGCAUAAUUAGCAAGAAUGUGGGUCAUUUGAGCUCCUUAGCCAAAAUCUUCAUCAGGCCUCAACUGCUGCCUUGUAUGUCGUCUAAGCUCCAUGCUCUGGCUGCCGGUGAAAUUCGAACAUAAUAAUCCACCUGCCAACUCUGUGUUUCACUCUCUUGGCAACGUCCCCCUUGACAUUCACAUCACAGAUGUUGAAGUUUUGUAUGGUCGUCUCAGCAAUGACGGGGUAUUGCAUCAAGGAAGCCUGCUGUGAUGACCAGUGCUGGAUUUGACUGCGAUACUAGCAGCAGGGAAGGUAAGGCGGAGGGAUAUCUGGAUAUCUCUUUACCGAUCUCACAAGACUCAAGGUGCCGGUGACUAUGGCUGCACUAAAAUGUGAUUCUAUUUCCUUGGUGUCUAGUGUAACCACUUAUAAUGACUAUUGAGAUUAUUGUAGUAAAUCUAUUUAGCAUGGCAAUCAUGAGAAAAUAACCUCUGGUAAUGUCAAUUGGGACAAGGUUUGUACCUUUUUAAGUUUUGGAGCCAAGUUGCUCAUGGAGAGCUGGUUCGACUUAUAUCUAAUAUUCCUGUUUGAUUUUCUCUUCAUUAAUAUUCACAUUAUAUAUCCUUAUAUAGUAAUAUUUUUCCUUGCUUAUGCUCUUUUGGUUCUAAUUAUUUUUUCUUAAUUUUUUUUUCUUUUAAAUUUAGUUUCGAGUUAAAUGAGGUAUUUGUUUAAAAUAAAAUGGUGUAGUUAUAUGUAAAGUGAGUGCAUGGGAUUGGGAGAUACAUGACAAUUUUUAGAAAAAAUUGAGCUCAUAGGGUUCUUUAUCAUAAGACUAUUAACACAAAUAAUAUACAUGAAAAAAAAAAUGCAUUUUAGCUUUGAACAUUAUUUGAAAGAAUUUUUUAAAUAAG